rnacentral:rRNA from 1 species
AUCGAACGCUGGCGGCAUGCCUUACACAUGCAAGUCGAACGGCAGCACGGGAGCAAUCCUGGUGGCGAGUGGCGAACGGGUGAGUAAAGUAUCGGAACGUGCCCAGUCGUGGGGGAUAACGUAGCGAAAGUUACGCUAAUACCGCAUACGAUCUAUGGAUGAAAGCGGGGGAUCGCAAGAUCUCGCGCGAUUGGAGCGGCCGAUAUCAGAUUAGGUCGUUGGUGGGGUAAAGGCUCACCAAGCCGACGAGCUGUAGCUGGUCUGAGAGGACGACCAGCCACACUGGGACUGAGACACGGCCCAGACUCCGACGGGAGGCAGCAGUGGGGAAUUUUGGACAAUGGGCGCAAGCCUGAUCCAGCCAUGCCGCGUGCAGGAUGAAGGCCUUCGGGUUGUAAACUGCUUUUGUACGGAACGAAAAGGUUUGACUUAAUACGUUGGACUCAUGACGGUACCGUAAGAAUAAGCACCGGCUAACUACGUGCCAGCAGCCGCAGUAACAC